rnacentral:rRNA from 1 species
GAGUUUGAUCCUGGCUCAGGAUGAACGCUGGCGGCGUGCUUAACACAUGCAAGUCGAACGGACCUGGUUUUUAGCACAAAUUGCUUAUGCCUAUCAGCAUGGGCGGAUGCGGACCCUUUGUCCAUACGAAAGAGCAUCCGUCUACGCGUAAAAAGCGUGAUAAACCAUGCAAGCAGAACGGAAAGUAAUGAGUGAUUUGUGCUGAAAAUCAGGUUAGUGGCGGACGGGUGCGUAACACGUGGGCAACCUGCCCUGCUUUUCGGAAUAACGCCGGGAAACCGUCGCUAAUGCCGAAUGAUAUGAGAAGAAGGCAUCUUCUUUUCAUCAAAGAAUUUCGAAGCAGGAUGGGCCCGCGCCGGAUUAGCUGGUUGGUGAGGUAACGGCUCACCAAGGCGACGAUCCGUAGCCGACCUGAGAGGGUGAUCGGCCACACUGGAACUGAGACACGGUCCAGACUCCUACGGGAGGCAGCAGUGGGGAAUAUUGCACAAUGGGCGAAAGCCUGAUGCAGCAACGCCGCGUGAGCGAUGAAGGCUUUCGAGUCGUAAAGCUCUGUCGCAGGGGAAGAAAAAGACGGUACCCUGUGAGAAAGCCCCGGCUAACUACGUGCCAGCAGCCGCGGUAAUACGUAGGGGGCAAGCGUUAUCCGGAAUUACUGGGCGUAAAGGGUGCGUAGGCGGCUUUUCAAGUCAAGGCUUAAAGGCUAACGGCUCAACCGUAGUAAGGCCUUGAAACUGGAGAGCUUGAGUAUCGGAGAGGAAAGUGGAAUUCCCAGUGUAGCGGUAAAAUGCGUAGAUAUUGGGAGGAACACCAGUGGCGAAGGCGACUUUCUGGACGAUGACUGACGCUGAGGCACGAAAGCGUGGGGAGCAAACAGGAUUAGAUACCCUGGUAGUCCACGCCGUAAACGAUGAGUACUAGGUGUCAGGUGUCAAAGCUUGGUGCCGCAGUUAACACAGUAAGUACUCCGCCUGGGGAGUACGCUCGCAAGAGUGAAACUCAAAGGAAUUGACGGGGACCCGCACAAGUAGCGGAGCAUGUGGUUUAAUUCGAAGCAACGCGAAGAACCUUACCUAAGCUUGGCAUCCCGUUGACCGGGGCUUAAUCGCCCCUUUCCCUUCGGGGACAGCGGAGACAGGUGGUGCAUGGUUGUCGUCAGCUCGUGUCGUGAGAUGUUGGGUUAAGUCCCGCAACGAGCGCAACCCUUGUUUUUAGUUGCCAGCGGUUUGGCCGGGCACUCUAAAAAGACUGCCGAGGAUAACUCGGAGGAAGGUGGGGAUGACGUCAAAUCAUCAUGCCCCUUAUGCUUAGGGCUACACACGUGCUACAAUGGCUGUUACAAAGGGCCGCGAGGCCGCAAGGCGGAGCCAAUCCCAUAAAAACAGUCUCAGUUCGGAUUGCAGGCUGAAACUCGCCUGCAUGAAGUCGGAGUUACUAGUAAUCGCGAAUCAGCAUGUCGCGGUGAAUGCGUUCCCGGGUCUUGUACACACCGCCCGUCACACCAUGGAAGCUUGGGGCACCCAAAGUCCGUGAUCCAACGAAAGAGGAAGCGGCCUAAGGUGAAACAAGUGACUGGGGUGAAGUCGUAACAAGGUAGCCGUAUCGGAAGGUGCGGCUGGAUCACCUCCUU